rnacentral:rRNA from 1 species
CAGUAGCCGCGGGAAAACAGAGGGUGCGAGCGUUAAUCGGAUUUACUGGGCGUAAAGCGUGCGUAGGCGGCUUCUUAAGUCGGAUGUGAAAUCCCUGAGCUUAACUUAGGAAUUGCAUUCGAUACUGUGAAGCUAGAGUAUGGGAGAGGAUGGUAGAAUUCCAGGUGUAGCGGUGAAAUGCGUAGAGAUCUGGAGGAAUACCGAUGGCGAAGGCAGCCAUCUGGCCUAAUACUGACGCUGAGGUACGAAAGCAUGGGGAGCAAACAGGAUUAGAUACCCGAGUAGUCCCUGUCUCUUAUAC